rnacentral:rRNA from 1 species
GAAUGCUGACAUAAGUAACGAUAAAGCGGGUGAAAAGCCCGCUCGCCGGAAGACCAAGGGUUCCUGUCCAACGUUAAUCGGGGCAGGGUGAGUCGACCCCUAAGGCGAGGCCGAAAGGCGUAGUCGAUGGGAAACAGGUUAAUAUUCCUGUACUUGGUGUUACUGCGAAGGGGGGACGGAGAAGGCUAUGUUGGCCGGGCGACGGUUGUCCCGGUUUAAGCGUGUAGGCUGGUUUUCCAGGCAAAUCCGGAAAAUCAAGGCUGAGGCGUGAUGACGAGGCACUACGGUGCUGAAGCGACAAAUGCCCUGCUUCCAGGAAAAGCCUCUAAGCAUCAGGUAACAUCAAAUCGUACCCCAAACCGACACAGGUGGUCAGGUAGAGAAUACCAAGGCGCUUGAGAGAACUCGGGUGAAGGAACUAGGCAAAAUGGUGCCGUAACUUCGGGAGAAGGCACGCUGAUAUGUAGGUGAAGCGACUUGCUCGUGGAGCUGAAAUCAGUCGAAGAUACCAGCUGGCUGCAACUGUUUAUUAAAAACACAGCACUGUGCAAACACGAAAGUGGACGUAUACGGUGUGACGCCUGCCCGGUGCCGGAAGGUUAAUUGAUGGGGUUAGCGGUAACGCGAAGCUCUUGAUCGAAGCCCCGGUAAACGGCGGCCGUAACUAUAACGGUCCUAAGGUAGCGAAAUUCCUUGUCGGGUAAGUUCCGACCUGCACGAAUGGCGUAAUGAUGGCCAGGCUGUCUCCACCCGAGACUCAGUGAAAUUGAACUCGCUGUGAAGAUGCAGUGUACCCGCGGCAAGACGGAAAGACCCCGUGAACCUUUACUAUAGCUUGACACUGAACAUUGAGCCUUGAUGUGUAGGAUAGGUGGGAGGCUUUGAAGUGUGGACGCCAGUCUGCAUGGAGCCGACCUUGAAAUACCACCCUUUAAUGUUUGAUGUUCUAACGUGGGCCCCUUACCGGGGUUGCGGACAGUGUCUGGUGGGUAGUUUGACUGGGGCGGUCUCCUCCUAAAGAGUAACGGAGGAGCACGAAGGUUGGCUAAUCCUGGUCGGACAUCAGGAGGUUAGUGCAAUGGCAUAAGCCAGCUUGACUGCGAGCGUGACGGCGCGAGCAGGUGCGAAAGCAGGUCAUAGUGAUCCGGUGGUUCUGAAUGGAAGGGCCAUCGCUCAACGGAUAAAAGGUACUCCGGGGAUAACAGGCUGAUACCGCCCAAGAGUUCAUAUCGACGGCGGUGUUUGGCACCUCGAUGUCGGCUCAUCACAUCCUGGGGCUGAAGUAGGUCCCAAGGGUAUGGCUGUUCGCCAUUUAAAGUGGUACGCGAGCUGGGUUUAGAACGUCGUGAGACAGUUCGGUCCCUAUCUGCCGUGGGCGCUGGAGAACUGAGGGGGGCUGCUCCUAGUACGAGAGGACCGGAGUGGACGCAUCACUGGUGUUCGGGUUGUCAUGCCAAUGGCACUGCCCGGUAGCUAAAUGCGGAAGAGAUAAGUGCUGAAAGCAUCUAAGCACGAAACUUGCCCCGAGAUGAGUUCUCCCUGACUCCUUGAGAGUCCUGAAGGAACGUUGAAGA